rnacentral:rRNA from 1 species
GCCAGCAGCCAUAUCACCCUGCAACUCACAGCUCACAGCUGGCAGCCCCACUGUAGCUCAGCAGGUGUGAGCCUGGCCAGUACCUGGAUGGGAGACCUCCUGGGAAAAACGAAGGUUCCUGCUGGAA